rnacentral:rRNA from 1 species
UACAGAGGGUGCGAGCGUUGUUCGGAAUUAUUGGGCGUAAAGAGCGUGUAGGCGGCCACACAGGUCUGCUGUGAAAACUCGAGGCUCAACCUCGAGCUGUCGGUGGAAACCGUGUGGCUAGAGUCCGGAAGAGGAGAGUGGAAUUCCCGGUGUAGCGGUGAAAUGCGCAGAUAUCGGGAAGAACACCCGUGGCGAAGGCGGCUCUCUAGUACGGUACUGACGCUGAGACGCGAAAGCGUGGGGAGCAAACAGG